rnacentral:rRNA from 1 species
GACGGGGGAUGCAAGUGUUAUCCGGAAUCACUGGGCGUAAAGCGUCUGCAGGUGGUUUCCUAAGUCCACUGUUAAACCUUGAGGCUCAACCUCAAAUCUGCAUUGGAAACUAGGAGACUUGAGUAUAGUAGGGGUAGAGGGAAUUUCCAGUGGAGCGGUGAAAUGCGUAGAUAUUGGAAAGAACACCGAUGGCGAAGGCACUCUACUGGGCUAUUACUGACACUCAGAGACGAAAGCUAGGGGAGCAAAUGGGAUUAGAUACCCCAGUAGUCCUAGCCGUAAACGAUGGAUACUCGAUGUUGGACGUAUCGACCCGUUCAGUAUCUUAGCUAACGCGUUAAGUAUCCCGCCUGGGAAGUACGCUCGCAAGAGUGAA